rnacentral:rRNA from 1 species
GACGAACGCUGGCGGCGUGCUUAACACAUGCAAGUCGAACGGAAAGGCCCUGCUUUUGUGGGGUGCUCGAGUGGCGAACGGGUGAGUAACACGUGAGUAACCUGCCCUUGACUUUGGGAUAACUUCAGGAAACUGGGGCUAAUACCGGAUAGGAGCUCCUGCUGCAGGGUGGGGGUUGGAAAGUUUCGGCGGUUGGGGAUGGGCUCGCGGCUUAUCAGCUUGUUGGUGGGGUAGUGGCUUACCAAGGCUUUGACGGGUAGCCGGCCUGAGAGGGUGACCGGCCACAUUGGGACUGAGAUACGGCCCAGACUCCUACGGGAGGCAGCAGUGGGGAAUAUUGCACAAUGGGCGGAAGCCUGAUGCAGCAACGCCGCGUGCGGGAUGACGGCCUUCGGGUUGUAAACCGCUUUCGCCUGUGACGAAGCGUGAGUGACGGUAAUGGGUAAAGAAGCACCGGCUAACUACGUG